CCUACGGGAGGCAGCAGUGGGGAAUAUUGGGCAAUGGGCGCAAGCCUGACCCAGCAACGCCGCGUGAAGGAAGAAGGCUUUCGGGUUGUAAACUUCUUUUCGCAGGGACGAAGCAAGUGACGGUACCUGAGGAAUAAGCCACUGAUAACUACGUGCCAGCAGCCGUGGUAAUACGUAGGUGACAAGCGUUAUCCGGAUUUACUGGGUGUAAAGGGCGUGUAGGCGGGAAAGCAAGUCAGAUGUGAAAACCAUGGGCUCAACCUGUGGCCUGCAUUUGAAACUGUGUUUCUUGAGUGCUGGAGAGGCAGACGGAAUUCCUAGUGUAGCGGUGAAAUGCGUAGAUAUUAGGAGGAACACCAGUGGCGAAGGCGGUCUGCUGGACAGCAACUGACGCUGAGGCGCGAAAGCGUGGGGAGCAAACAGGAUUAGAUACCCGGGUAGUC
rnacentral:rRNA from 1 species